AUACAAUUCUCUCGGCAAAUUGAGCUUAAAUCUGAAGUCUUAGGAAAUAGAAUGAAUGCCAAAAAAUUAUUUUUCCCCCUGUGUGCUGUUAACAAGGGCAGUCUCUUCGUUUUCACAGUAUUUCCUUCUAUUUUCCUCCUGUUGUCUGUGGCUCCACUUUAGGUUAGUAGGGACUUUAGAGGGAAAUACCACUUCAGAUUAAAGUCUUGUCAGAUCUCAUUUAUUAACUGGCAUGGGGUCUGGUGUCCUGGAGCGAGAAGGUCUCCUGAGGAAGCAUUUGUUGUGAGCCUCUCUUGCAGGGACUGAGUUUGGAGCAGGACUUUCCAGGAGCCGUCCUGUGUUAGGAGGAGACGAAGUUCCACAAAACUAGGACCCAAGAGAGGAUUAAGUAUUUUGAUCCUAAAAAGAAAAGGGUUGAGGGAUGAGGUGGGGAGGGAGAUGUUCCAAAAUGUUUUACUUUGAGCUGGGCAUGGUGGCGGGUGUCUGUAAUCUCAGCUACUUGGGAGACUGAGGCAGGAGAAUCACUUAAACCCGGGAGGUGGAGGUUGCAGUGAGCCAACAUCACGCCACUGCACUCCAGCUGGGUGACAAGAGUGAAACUCCAUCUCAAAUAAAUAAAUAAAUUAAUUAAAAUGUUUUACUUUGAUAACCUGGCCUUUGCAUUCUUUGCAUUAUGUGAAAUAAGCUUUAAUCAAUGGUAAUAUAUGAAAUAACAUUGCUUCGGUCAUUCAAUAAAUAUUUAUAAGUUAAAAAAAUAUAUAUGUGUGUAUUUGUUUGUAAGCCCACAAUAUAGAAUGCCUGUACUCGGGGCUGGAGAAAAGUGGUGAAUGGAACUUAACACAUUGCUG
rnacentral:lncRNA from 1 species